UCAAAGUUUUAUUUAAGCUUAAAAAAUGAUUUAAAAAUUUUAAUUUAAAUAUAAAUUUUUGUGAAAAUAUUUAUUGAUUUAAAAAAUUAAUAUAAUAAAAACUAAUAAUAAAUAAUUUUAAAUAUUUAAGAAAUUAAGAUUUAGUAAUAAUAUUUAAUAUUAACAAAAUUUGUGCCAGCAGUUGCGGUUAUACAAAUAAUGUAAAUCAUUUAUUUUAGAUAUAAUUAUUUUUAAUAUUAAGAAAAAUUUAAAUUUAAUAUAAUUAGGUGAAAUUUAUUAUAUUAAUAAGAUUUUUAUUUUAUUUUAAGAAGUUAUGAAAUUUUAAAUUUAAACUAGGAUUAGAUACCCUAUUAUUUAAAAUGUAAAAAAUUUAUUUUAAAUUAUUAAAAGUUAUGUUCUUUAAAAUUAAAGAUUUUGGCGGUAUUUUAAUCCAUUUAGAGGAACCUGUUCUAUAAUUGAUAGUCCACGAUUUAAUUUACUUAAAUUAAUUAGUUUGUAUAUCAUCGUGAAAAAUAUUUUUAUAAAAUUUAAAAUAUUUAAGAUUUUUUAUUAAAAAAUAAAUCAGAUCAAGAUGCAAUUUAUAUUUAAGAAGAAAUGGGUUACAAUAAUUUUUAAUUUUGAAUGUAAUAUUUAAAAUAUUAUUGAAAUUGGAUUUAAAAGUAAUUUUUAUUAUUUAUAAAAAUGAUUUUGGCUCUAAAAUAUGCACAUAUCGCCCGUCGCUUUCAUUUAAAGUGAAAUAAGUCGUAACAAAGUGGUUUUACCGGAAGGUGUAGCUGGAAUG
rnacentral:ncRNA from 1 species